AUGAAACUGGACUCACCUGGAAGCAGCAGCGCCGACGCUCUUCAAGGGCCCGAUGGAAACGCAGAAAAAUUCAUCUGGGAAAUUCAUUACAGCCUGAAGUUCAGGACAUUUCUUUGCAGAGUCUGCUCUGCUUCUGAAACAGAUGACGCCAGCACCACGUCGGGCUACAGCACGAGCGUGUGAGAGGGGCUCUGUUUCUGUCUUUGGUUAUCUAGCUGUAUGAGUGUUAAAUACCUGUCAUAAAGCUAGAUAACCGAAAGUAGAAAUGACUUCCGUAACGUUGUGUUCCUUCCCGAAAGAGCAGGGACUUUGAUUUGACGGAUUUCGACUUUUCACCUCAAAAAGGCUUCCGACUAAUAGCAUUGAAUGAUUUGGGGUUCCUGAAAAGAGGGUAGAACCAUCAUUAAAAGAAAACGGGGGGGUGGGGGACACCCCCCUCCUCACCCUUUUUACCCAAGAGCAUCUAAUGCCAUCUGUACUGCCAACGGGGGGGACACUUUGCCUGUGCCAGGAGACGAACAAAGACUCCUUGGAGUAUGGGCGCACUCAGAGGAGCCAUCUUGAGAGAUGUUGCUGCGACACCUAAAAUGGCUGGGCUGGCAUACGAGGAUGUGAGAGGAUCUGCAAGCCCUUCUGCACUCUGUAGGAACCUGCUUUGGCACGAGGAGAUUGUGGACCAAAUGCAACGAAAUGUUGUCGUCAGAGGCCCUCACCAGAGCAUGAGGAUUAUCAGCCACCUAAACACUGCAAAAGAGUGUUAUGUUAAAGGACUGUAGGAGCAAAAGAGAUAUAUAAGCCUGCAUGUAAGCCUGAAAUGUAAUUUAUUUUAUUUAUUUUGUGUGUUCUGUAUUAAUGAUCAAGUGUGACAUGUUAGACAUGUUUAAAUCGAAUCUAUUAUUUUAAAAACUGUGCAAAUAAAAAAGCCUUAAAUGUUCCUACUUACAUCUCACUCAGUACAUUAUGUGCAUUUUCAUAGCUAAUACAUGUUUUAAUUAAUUCAGUUAUUGAUUCAUUGAUCUCAUGUCUAAAUUGAAAUAGUAAUUAAUAGGAUAUAAAUGCAUUACUGAUGAAGUUUAAUGUUUUAAGUUUACUGCUGUCAAUGACAUUUCUUUGAAAUAAAAAUAAUGAAAAUA